AGUUAUAUUUAAGAAGUCGAUAGGCAAUCAGACCGAACUAACAGUUUCCCAACAUUUCUGCAUCAAGGUUAGUAACAUAAGUGAUAUCAAUUAGAACCCUUUAGGUAGUUCCCUGUAACUGUUCACGCAAAACUAGACUAACAGCCUUAUAUGCCAUGAGCUCCCAAGUACAAAAGCAAUAUUGUACACAUAUAUACUUUGUUUUCAUAGGGCUGAUAAAUUGAAGAGAUUAAGUUUUUCGUAGCAAUACUUGUACACAUAGAUACUUGUGUUGAACUAUGUACUUCGUUGCUACUUUGUUUAAUAAAAUGGACGUGUGCAUCACCUGAUGCAGAACCCGUGGGUAAAACCUCCUUCUAGAAAAAAAUCAAUCACAUCGAAGUAGAUGAACACAUGUGCUCAACAAAAAUUUAGCCAAAGACACAUCGAUUGUUGGUGCUGGUACUGGUAGUAUAAACUCUUUUAAGUGAAGGCCUAAGCCAAAAAAAAAAAGAUGCUGGGCAGUGGCACAAGUUGGGAUAAACCAGGCAGGUGGGAGGGCCACGUGGAGGAAACCAGCUGCCGCCUGCCAAGGAAAACAGCCCAGAAGCAGAACGUGCUAAAAAUUAGAAGUAAAAUGUGGCACAAUUUCCUUUAAAUGGGUUAAAACGGAUGAAAAUCUCUUAAAUAGAGUAAUUCCUGUCAAAAAUGUCACAGGAAGGGGUAUAAACCGGAAUUUAUUAUACAUAAGACAAACUUCAUUUGGAAGCAAGAAAAGGCAUCAACAGAAAGUAUAUGGAAUAGUGUUUCCAACUCUAAUUAACCAACUUCAAAACCUACAAAACUGGUCACUGAACAAACACGUUAUAUCCCCAAAGAUGCAGAGUAGAAAAAUUUAGCAGUUUCAGUUUUUCCUGGAAAUCUGAUUCUUUGUUUUUUUAGGAACAAGUUGAUUCUUGUAUGAACAAAAUAUAUUGUCGACGUCCUAUAGAAGAUCCAGAUAGUGGUGUUGUGCUAACCAACGACGCGUACCCUACCUUAGGGAACAUGUGUCACCUCUAUAAGUAUAGAAAAAUAUACAGGUCUUGCAACCCUUUCCUUUGUAUCAGACCUUCCCUCUUUCUUUCGCUUGGCAUGCUAGUUCUUAGAAGUUAUACCUUUAGGUGUGCCUUGCUGCAGCACAUUGGAACCCUUCUGUGCUUGAUGAACAACCAACGAUGCUUGAUCUCAUCCCCUAACUCGGAGUAAAGGUGAAAAUGGACAUGUACACAAACUCUAUUAAAUAAGACUAGUGGAGCAUGUCAUGUGCCAUGAACAAACUUACCGGCAGAACUAAUGAAUCAUACUUUUAUCAUUCUUUCUAUGCAUACUUUUAACAGUUCCAAUUCUGCCUCCCUGUUUUCGAGCAAUAGCUUGGUUUUGCUUUUCCUUGAAGCAACUUUGAGAGACAAAAGUUCAGAAUUUUUGGCAUCAUAUUGUCAUCCAACAAUAUAUUUUCAUGUUUGAGAUCUAAGUGAAUAAUACAAUUCGUGUGAAGAUAAGGUAAAUCCUUGCAAAUUCCUUGAUUAUUUGUUAGCGCUUUCUUCAUGCAGAUUAAUGCGUCUACAAAAAGAAAAAGGAAGUUCCAUAUUUAGGAUAAUUGAAGCUUUUAAUCUUCAUAAGCACUACAUAAUAGACAAUAAUGUAGUGAGUAAUUUCAAAUUGUAUGUGUGAGGUGCUUGAAAUAGAUAUAUUUUUCUUGAACAAUAAAAGAUGGAAUGCAAUGUUGCGUCCCACAUGAUCUUACCUAUCAUAUUGACAUGAAGACCUCAUAUAGGUAGAUACUCACAAGCAGAGCAGUGGUGCUUAUUCAUCUGUCUUCACAGAUUUUUUGGAUGUAUCUUUCCAUAUUUCAUUAUGUGUGAACACAAUAUCUCAGCAUUCAAACAAUAUAUUUGUGCUAUGUCUUUAUCCGUUCAACCUCACUUCUUCCCAUUCAUAUGUGUGUUCGAGAAUAUUCUCACUUCUUCUCAUUCAUAUGCGCGUUCGAGAACUUCAUUGUGAAUAUCAUAUGCACAAUCAUCCUGAAUGUAGAGAGCGCUAUCAAAUAAUCAAAGGAAUUUGCGGGGGUUUACAUUAUCUUCACGAGAGCCGAAUUUUUCACUUAGAUCUCAAACCUGAAAAUGUAUUGCUCGAUAACAACACGGUGCCAAAAAUUACAGACUUUAGCCUCUCAAGAUGCUUCGAAGAAAAGAUUAAACCUAGGUCAACUAUCACUUCAAAGUUCCAGUAG
rnacentral:rRNA from 1 species